CAAGAACUCUCCUCACGACUUAGGCAUAGUUGUGUCAAUGAGCACUAUAAGGAGAAGACUACACCAGCAUAACUUUUGUUUUUACCAAAAGUCUCCCACCACUAGUAAGACUCAAGAACAGAACAGCCAGGGUACAGUUUGGACAUGGACAGAAGAGAUAUUGAACAUGUACCUGAGUGAUGAAAAUAGGAAAGCUUUGCCUCUUAUUGGUUGAGCCCUGACCUUUACCCUCUCUGUGAAACAGAAAGUCAAGCAGGCCCAGAUGAUGUGGAGGAGGAAGAUCACACAGAGGAGGUCAACGACAGCCCCUACUACUGCCCGGAUAAGGUCUGUAAUCCGCUCAAAUGCCAAUCACAGUCCAACACUCAACCAGAUCUACUGUGCAUGUAAACCUGUUGGUCCCUGUUCAGAUUUUCUGAUGUUGUAUAUUUUUGUCAUGGGCUGUUUUAGUUCAUUAAUCAAAACCAAAUAAAAAAUAAAACUUUGUUCAGUAGAUAACUACAAAAUGUAAUGUUACCCAAGCCGGAAGAGGCUGGGGUGGCUGUGCGCCUCCUUCCAGGUGACCUCCAGUGGCAGGACUCUGACUCCAGCUCCCGGUCCAGCAGCCCAGAGCCUCUGGCACAACGCAGACCCGGACCACUGUCCCUGUUGGCUCGCAAGAUGGCGUCCGAGGGAGUGUUGGAGAAGAGAGGCGAGCGGGCUUUAGACAACCAGAUAGAUCCUGUUGAGGUUUCUAGAUUAGAAGAAAGAGGUUUGGGGGAAAGCAGCAGCAAAAAAGUAUCAAUGCCAGUGAAACAAGACAUCAUUAGGCUGAAACAUGAGAAAAAAUCUAUUAGAGACAUAGCCAAAACACUAGGUUUGUCAAAAUCAACUGUUUGGAACAUUGUUAAGAAGCAAGAACGUACUGGUGAACUUGGCGAUCGCAAACGACCUGGUAGACCACAGAAGACCACAUUAGUGGAUGACCAACAAAUGCUUGCAAUUGUGAAGAAAAACCCCUUUUCAACUGUUGAACAGAUCAAAAACUCUCUUGAGGACUUAGGCAUAGUUGUGUCAACAAGCACUAUAAGGAGAAGACUUCACCAGCAUAACUUUUGUGUUUACCACAAGACACCCACCACUAGUAAGACUCAACAACAGAACAGCCAGGGUACAGUUUGCGUAUGGACAGAUGAGAUGGUGAACAUGUACCUGAGUGAUGAAAAUAGUAAAGCCGGCCCAGAUGAUGUGGCGGAGGAAAAUCUCAUAGAGGAAGUCAACGACAGCCCCUACUACUGCCCGGAUAAGAAUCCCCAUUCCCUGUCGGUGCGAGUACUGGAGGAUGUUGAGCACCAAGGCCUGGCCCCUUCCAUCCCCCCCCACUCCCAGGAGAAGGAAGACACCGCCCUAGCGGAUGACAACCAGCCUACUCACUCCAUGCUUCACCUCAGUCACCAGCCAUCCAGAGACUCUGCCGCCAACCGCCUCCAUGGUGACAAUGACAACAGCGAGGUGAACGAAGAGGAGUGGGGACCAGCGGCAGGUGCCAGGAGAGGGGGCAGUGCCCCCCAGCCCCAACAGCCUUCCCCCAGUGUCCAUGUCCUGUCCGACAUGGAUGAGGAGCAGGAAGAGGCUGGUGUGGCCGUCCGCCUCCUUCCAGGUGGUCUCCAGAGGCAGGACUGUGAGUCCAGCUCCCGUUCCAGCAGCCCAGAGCCCCAGGCGCACAAGAGGUCCAAGGGAGUGUUGGGGAAGAGACGCAAGGGGGCCUCUGACAGCCAGACAGAUCCUGUCGACGUCUCGAGACCAGAAAAAUCAGGAGAUGGAGACAGCAACUGCAAAACAGUUUCCAUGCCCUUAAAGCAGGACAUUAUUAGGCUAAAACAUGAGAAUAAAUCAAUUAGAGACAUAGCCAAAACAUUAGGUUUGUCAAAAUCUACUGUUUGGUAUAUUGUUAAGAAGCAAGAACGUACUGGUGAACUCAGCAACCGCAAACGACCUGGUAGACCACAGAAGACCACAUUAGUGGAUGACCAACAAAUGCUUGCAAUUGUGAAGAAAAACCCUUUUUCAACUGUUGAACAGAUCAAAAACUCUCUUCAGGACUUAGGCAUAGUUGUGUCAAAGAGUACCAUCAGGAGAAGACUACACCAGCAUAACCUUUGGGUUUAG
ensembl:lncRNA